rnacentral:rRNA from 1 species
AUGCACGCUGGCUGCGUGCCUAAUACAUGCAAGUCGAGCGAACAGACGAGGAGCUUGCUCCUCUGACGUUAGCGGCGGACGGGUGAGUAACACGUGGAUAACCUACCUAUAAGACUGGGAUCACUUCGGGAAACCGGAGCUAAUACCGGAUAAUAUAUUGAACCGUAUGGUUCAAUAGUGAAAGACGGUUUUGCUGUCACUUAUAGAUGGAUCCGCGCCGCAUUAGCUAGUUGGUAAGGUAACGGCUUACCAAGGCAACUAUGCGUAGCCGACCUGAGCGGGUGAUCGGCCACACUGGAACUGAGACACGGUCCAGACGCCUACGGGAGGCAGCAGUAGGGAAUCUGCCGCAAUGGGCGAAAGCCUGACGGAGCAACGCCACGUGAGUGAUGAAGGUCUUCGGAUCGUAAAACUCUGUUAUUAGGGAAGAACAAAUGUGUAAGUAACUAUGCACGUCUUGACGGUACCUAAUCAGAAAGCCACGGCUAACUACGUG